CCUACGGGAGACAGCAGUGAGGACUAUUGGUCAAUGGGCGCGAGCCUGAACCAGCCAAGUCGCGUGAGGGAGGACGGCCCUACGGGUUGUAAACCUCUUUUGCCGGGGAGCAACGGGCGUCACGUGUGGCGCCACUGAGAGUACCCGGAGAAAAAGCAUCGGCUAACUCCGUGCCAGCAGCCGCGGUAAUACGGAGGAUGCGAGCGUUAUCCGGAUUCAUUGGGUUUAAAGGGUGCGCAGGCGGGCCUUUAAGCCGGCGGUGAAAUCGCGGGGCUCAACCCCGCCGAGCCGUCGGAACUGGGGGCCUUGAGUGCGGCGGAGGCAUGCGGAAUGCGCGGUGUAGCGGUGAAAUGCAUAGAUAUCGCGCAGAACCCCGAUUGCGAAGGCAGCGUGCCGUGCCGCCACUGACGCUGAGGCACGAAAGCGCGGGGAUCGAACAGGAUUAGAUACCCUGGUAGUC
rnacentral:rRNA from 1 species